GAAUUCCGGAUUCUGUGUCUCUGCUCCGUGAAUUCAUUAAAGAUCCCUUGACAGUGUUCGGAGAGUGGGAGUUUGCCCUUUUGUCCUUGAACCGGCUUCACCUGAGAGCUCAGCUCUUUCCUGUGAAUUGAAAAUGGCAAUUCUUUAUUCAGUGCACUGCAAAUGACUAGCAAUCUAUUGCAGGAGAAGAUUUUCAAUCUGUCUGCAACUAGCUGCCAAAACUUUUGGAUGAAUAGGGAAGAAUGCAGUCAAUCACCCAGAUGUUCCUUCCGCAGGAGGCCAUGCACCCAGCUAUUUGGAAACAAUCAGGUGCCUGGAACAUGAAGACAGCACAUCUGGAAUAACCAAGGAAGGAACAUUUUGGCUUAAUAUGAUGAAGAUCUGCAUAAUUGAAGCUAUCCAAGAAUGGUGGAA